GCCAGAAGCUGCUUUCUGGCAGUGCCUGUGUUUCUCAGCCUGAAGGCUAUUUUUCUCCUUGUGUGAGGUGGUUUGACCCCAGCUGAGUGCCAAUGAAUUGAUGCUUUUGAACUGUGGUAUUGGAGAGGACUCUUGAGAGUCCCUUGGACGGCAAGGAGAUCCAACCAGUCCAUCCUAAAGGAAAUCAAUCCUGAAUAUUCAUUGGAAGGACUGAUGCUGAAGCCCCAAUACUUUGGCCACCUGAUGUGAAGAACUGUCUCACUGGAAAAGACCCUGAUGCUGGGAAAGAUUGAAGGCAGGAGGAGAAGGGGGACGACAGAGGAUGAGAUGGUUGGAUGGCAUCACUGAGUCAGUGAACAUGAGUUUGAGCAAGCUCCGGGAGUUGGUGAUGAACAGGAAGCCUGGCGGGCUGCAGUCUGUGGUGCUGCAGAGUCAGACACAACAGCCUCUGCUCCUCUGUGGCCAAGUUUCCUGAGAUCACCUCCCAGACCAGUCACUUGUGUUUGCUCCCUUGCUUCAGGGACUGCUUCUGGAAACCUCAAACUGUGGCAACAGGAAAAACCCUGUAGAGAAGCCCACCCAGCAUUUCCUAUUAGACUGAAAACAACAUAUCACUCCUAUUUCUUGUGCACAGCUGAUUUCCUGUGCCGGACUCUGACGCAUCAUUUUGAGUGGGGAUCAUGACCUCCAUCUGUGUACGUGUGCAAGGGAAGGAAAGCCACGUGGAGACUUGCACAUGUGCCAGGAAAAUUGAAUACAUAGAAGCUGACGUUCUUACAAAGUACUUUCUCACAUGUUACCACCAAUGAGCCUGUUGAGCUUGAUGCUUGCCCAGCACCAUCAAGAUGGUAAAGCGUCUGCCUACAAUGUUGGAGACCGGGGUUCGAUCCUUGGGCCAGGAAGAUCCCCUGGAGAAGGAAAUGGCAACUCACUCCAGUACUCUUGCCUGGAAAAUCCCAUGGACAAUGGAGGAGCCUGGCAGGCUACAGUCCAUGGGGUCGCAAAGAGUGGGACAUGACUGAGUGACUUCACUUUCUUGGUCCUUCUCUACAAAUGGAAAAUGCUGUCUAAGCCCAAGUUCUAAUCAUCCCUUUGAGUUACUCAUCACUGAGUUUCUCCUACAGGUAUAGGUGGUGCACGUGUAAAUAAACU
ensembl:lncRNA